AUGAAACACUCCUACGGGAGGCAGCAGUGGGGAAUUUUGGACAAUGGGGGCAACCCUGAUCCAGCAAUGCCGCGUGAGUGAAGAAGGCCUUCGGGUUGUAAGGCUCUUUUGUCAGGGAAGAAACGGUAGUAGCUAAUAUCUAUUACUAAUGACGGUACCUGAAGAAUAAGCACCGGCUAACUACGUGCCAGCAGCCGCGGUAAUACGUAGGGUGCGAGCGUUAAUCGGAAUUACUGGGCGUAAAGCGGGCGCAGACGGUUACUUAAGCAGGAUGUGAAAUCCCCGGGCUCAACCUGGGAACUGCGUUCUGAACUGGGUGACUAGAGUGUGUCAGAGGGAGGUAGAAUUCCACGUGUAGCAGUGAAAUGCGUAGAGAUGUGGAGGAAUACCGAUGGCGAAGGCAGCCUCCUGGGAUAACACUGACGUUCAUGCCCGAAAGCGUGGGUAGCAAACAGGAUUAGAUACCCUAGUAGUCCGAAGUUC
rnacentral:rRNA from 1 species